UCCAUUCCCGGUUGAUUAGGAACCUCACAAGCUUUAAAUAACACCGACCGGGUGGGGUCACUCUUAAAUAUUUCUAUGCGGGGAGGAGCCGCGUUUACUGAGGAUUUAGUUGUGUGGGAAAUAUGGAGUAGGGGAGUUGCAGCAUUUUUGGGGUGAAAGGGACUUUGUAGCACAUUGGGAAAUAACCGGGGUGAAACUGGUAGUUAAAGUUCAUGACCUAUCUUGUGUCAAAGUGCCACGAUUUUCCGCAUUAGCGAAUUUCAAGCUAUAAGGUGCUUAUAAGCCGCGCGGUAAGCUCCUUGAUUGGUAGAGCUAAGAGAUCGCGACCGGACGGAACACUUUUGCCAUCGGGAACCAGUAAAUAUUGUGCCCUCUCUGGCACUAUAAUUGCCGAGUGGCCUUUUUCCUGUCGUAGAAUAAUCAGAACACGUGUGUUAGAACACCUGGAGCCUGGAAUGUGAUGUACAUUAUUUCAUAACAGCGUUAUUUACGGAGCGUCCGUAGUUGCUAAGGAAAUUUUGCCUAAUUAUGGCUGUUUACGGAAAUAAACAAAGACACUACUACGGAAAUUUAUCCCUAGCCUAGACCCAGAAAUAGGCCUUGUUGAAAGUACAGCAGGACAGUGAAUCAUUGUAUGAUUUCAUCAGGACUAACUAGGCCUAUGGCUACAUCGUUCCUACGGACCCUACUAGGCCUAGACUAGGCUAGGCCGCUUGAGAACUGUCAGAUUACUGAUAAACUAUUAAUUGUUAAAAACUCAACCCAAGAAAGUACCCAGAAUAUUUUCAUUUACUACGGAAUCUGAGGACAUGGCGGAAAUGCAUUUUACAAACUUGAGAACUCUCUUAAUCGUAGUUUUGAUUAUUAAGUGUGCAGAAUAUUUACUACUCUGGACUAGGCCUUCCUUCGCCUAUAUGCUAUGUCAUUUCAUCUCUGUAGAAAUUUUGAAGAAACUUGGACAUUGCACCUCCUCUGCAACACGUCAACCUGCCCUGCUUGGCUGAAUGACUAAUCUUGCUGCCACUGCUGAAUGGUUAUGGCAACUGGUGAUUUGCUAGUUCAAGCAUUCAAUUCAAUUGUAUUCAGUAAUAGUAUUGAAUAAUUUAUUGUAAUAGUAUUGAAUAAAUAAAUUAUCAAUUGUAUUCAGUAUAGUAUUGAAUAAUUUAUUGUAAUAGUAUUGAAUAAAUAAAUAUUAAUUGUAUUCAGUAUAGUAUUGAAUAUUGUUUUUUUUCUUCUCGAGUACUGAAUGAGCAGGAUGGUAAAAAAAAAAAGCGCCCUCGAAUAGAAAAAGGCCCAAAAUAUGACUAAGUUAUUUGGCCACAAUAAUCUGUCCGGUUCUGAUAAAAAUAGUGAAGAAAAUCGCCCUAAAUAGCCUUUUUAUUCCAAAGUUUUUUAGGGCAUCUUAAUUGUCAAUGGCACUAAAAGGCACCCUCUAUCGUCCAAUUUUUUCACAAUUACAAAAAACUGGCCAUUAGAGGGCACACUCUACUACCUUAAUAGAAUUAAUGGCAAAUAAGAGACCACUAAAAACGUUGAAAUAAAAUGGCUAUGAAGGGCGGUUUUCAGCACCACAGAGGGCCCCUUUAUUAAAGCUAGGCUCUGGAGGGGAAAACAAUUUUUGAUAUUUGGUAGAAUUUUUACACCC
rnacentral:lncRNA from 1 species